AACGAUAAAGGCAAACCCGUCGAAAGGCGGGGGCGCAAAGCCAUGGGUCUAAAGCGUUAGCUAUGAUCGCCAGGCCGCCGGAC
rnacentral:ncRNA from 1 species